ensembl:lncRNA
AUAUGCUAAUAAGGCUUUUCUCCUCGUUUUGUUUGUAAGAUUUAGAUUUGCUAUGGCAACCCGCUGGCAUGGAAGGAACGCCAGGAAAUGUCAGGGCGAGGUGAGCCCCGGGGAGGGGCUGGGGCUGCUGUGGUGGGGGGGGUGGGGGGGGGAUGCACCACAUCUCACCACGGGGACACGGGAACGGCCAGGAGACCGGAGGGCAGCGGUGGGAGACCGGGAGCGAGCGGAGCCGUGCAGCCCUGCCUGCCUGCAGGUGAGAUCGUCUGCAGCGCGGGACCCGCCCGCCCGCACAGGAGGUAAUUGCGGUUCUCCCAUCCCCUCUAUGAGCGCAGCGCCGGGGCAGAGCCCGCAUCCCGAAGGGCAGCCGCGAUGCGGGACGGGACGGAGCGGGCAGCGCGACCCACCCGCGGCCGCCGGCCUCGGCGUUACCGGUACGGCUGCAAGUUACCGGGCUGCGGGACGGAGUGGGGCCGCGGGAGAGGCCGGGCCGGGCCGAGCCGAGCCGCGCUGCAUCCCGCCGAGGCGGCUCCUGCGGCGAGAGCCGUGCUCGCACCGGAGCCCAACAUGGCUGCUGUAGUGAAGAGGAGAAAUCCCCUCAUCGCUCCCAUCAGCCCCAUCCAACAGCAGCCACCGCAGGCAACAGGGACAGGGGAGCAGCGGGGACAGCGAGGGGACGACCCCAUGGCAGCACCCUCAGAAUCCAUGGGGAGAUGUGCCCUGCAAGGACCUGGUGCUGUGGGUUCGCGGCCACAAUUCUGGGCAUGGCUCCAGGGGAUGGGAAUUGCAGCUGCACCCCUGCGUGACUCAAUCACGGGACAGCACCCAUACUCCACCAGGGAUGCUCCAGAGCCUCCUGGAUGCGGAACAGGGCUUUGCUGACGGCAUCCCACAGACACAGUGCUGGAUCUCCCUCGGGUGACCCAUGGGGAUGAGGACACAGCUGAGGACACCACUGUGCACCCCGGGGAAGGACUGUUUGCAGCACAGCCACCACAAGGCACAGCUCUCGGUGAUGUGAGAGGACGCCGUGUGGUUUGGAUGGCCAAGAAGGGCUGGAGGAGAGCCCAGGAAUUGCCUGAAAUGUGGGCAGGGUCCGGGCAGGUCCCCUCCCUGUCCCCAGGGUAUGGGCUCACUCCAUCCCAUCGCUGGACCACGGCUGGUCCUGGGGCACAGAGCUGCUACCACUGAGCCCAAGGCACCGGGGGACAAGGCCUGCAGCAAAAGGAGGUGAAAAGGAAAAACAGCAAGAAGUGUAUUAAAGGUGUUGAAAGCCUACGGCAGCGUCACAGCCUGAUCUCCCUUGUGUUGCUGAUGUUGGAGCAGAAUUUUCCCAUAUGCCACCCCAGACCUCCUUCCCCAGGGUCCCCAGCCCUGCAGGAGCUGUCCCGGCCCCUUUGGGAGCCAACAGCACUGCAGCCAUCCCUGCACAGCCGCUGUGCUGCGGGGCACAGCCAUGGGAUCAGCUCCUCACACCUCUCCCGUGUGCGCUCUCCCUCUCUUCUAUCUCAGCCCCAUGCUGGGAACCGGGCCCAGCUCUGCUUUGCCAAAGCCCGGUGGCAGCGGUGGCACUGGGGGGACUCACGCGGGGAGAGGAGGGGCACCAGCACCCACCGCCCCCACCCCUCCCCAACUCGUGCCGCCUCCCCCAGGACUCACUGCAGCUCCCAGCUCCCACCUGCGUGGGAUUUCAAGCUGCUGCCUUACAGCUGAGCCUGGAAACCCAUUCCCUUCAGCUCCAAAACCAGGAGCACCGGUGUCUGUGAGCCUGAGUUCUCACUCGCUGUUGGGAUGCCCAAGCUGCAGACCCAACCGUGGGUCUGGAGUGGGCUCCGAGCCCCCCUAAGACCCCACCAUCAGCUUUGACACUUCGGGAUGAGCACCAAAACGCAGCACUGGGCCGUCAUCUCCCGAAGCCGUCGCACCGCCACCGCACGCGCCCGCAGCAGCAUCCCACCGCCCAAAUAUUGAGCCAUACAUUCAGUCACCCCGCCGAGGGCCGGGGCAGCGCGGCAGAGGGAGCGUGGCAGUUUGUUAUGCUAACCGAGGGGGGCUCCGCUCGGGGACGUGUCGGAGAGGUCUGAAGAGCAAGGAGUUCACAGGCCCUCUCCCUUUGUCAUGCUAAAAGUGCAACACAGAAAAUAUAUACAGGCAGCUGCUCAAUGGAGCGUGAAAUACAAGUGAUUUCUCCGGGAGCUCUGGGUAAUGCAAUGCAGCCCAGACAAUGCCCGCCGCAGCCCCACCGCCUUUGUGCGAGAUGGAAAACUUCGGCGGGGGGAAACAGGACGGCAGCUCUGAACCUACAGCUGCCCCAGAGGGCAAAGUCCCUGAGAGGGUCCCCAGCACGCACCCCUGGGGAACCCAACACCCAUUGGGACCUCAACACCCAUAGGGUCCAUAACACCCCUACGGUCCCCAGCAUUCAUAGGGUCCCCAACGCUCACAGAGUCCCCACCACCCAUAGGGUCCUUAACACCCCUACGGUCCCCAAGACCCAUGGGGUUCUCUGCUGUGGGAUGGAUGGGCGCUCAGCUGCCACAUCCCUGGGAUCAGCUCUGGAAUGGGCACAGUGUGGCCCCGGCAGCACUGGGGACACGGCCGGGCCUGGCACGCUGUCCCCGAGCACGGGGUGGGGACCCCAUUAACGCGACGCCAACAUCCCAGCAGAGCCGAGCACCGCCCGUGGCAGCAGCUCCUAUUGCUGAUGCAAAUUGGGGCAUCCCGCAGGAGGAGGGAGCGGUGUAAAAUCAGUCCUCAAAGGAGCUUUUGUGUCUCCGGGGCUGAGGUGCUCAGAACAUCCAUCUUUCCCUCCUUUUUUUUUUUUUUUUUUUCUUUUUUUUUCCCCCUUUUUUUUUUGCGGCUGGAGCUGAAACCCGACACUGGGCCGGGCCGGGGGGGUUCCCGGGGCCCCGCAUUCGUUCCAGGCAGCGACACCCCCCGAUGCAUCCCCUG